CGGUCGUAAAGAAAGGCUGUUGCAGAACUUUCUGACUGUAGGGCAAGCGGAUGAGCGCGCCAGUCCUUUUGUCAUACUUCUUUAGAAUCUUCACAAGCCCUAUAAAAAGGCAACUGAAGCAUAUUCUACGCACAAGGAAUUGAUUCAGCGGCAUGUGGCCACAAUUUCAAGAUCCCAAAUGGAGAGCUUGACCACAAAAGGGUGUAAAUGCAUUCAACCAUGCCAAGUGCACCAAUCAAUGCAUAAA